GUUUUUUUUUCUUGAGAUUUCGCAAUUGGAUUAAGGUGUGAAGAACCUGAAGAAUUUUUCUUUUCUUUUCCUUUUAUUAUUAUUGUUAUUUUUUUUAAUAUUAUUGGGUUUUAUUCUCCUUUUGACUAUUGCAACUGAGGAUUAAGGUCUAGAAGAACCUGAAGAAAGAAAUUUUUCUGGUGGCAAUUUUUCUUUUUUCCUUGAAAUUUUUUUUCCUUUUUAAAUUUUGGGCUUUUUGGUUUUUUUUUACUGAUUUUUCUUUUUUACGUUUUUCCUUUCUCUAAUUGGAUUAUAAUUGUUACACUGCCAACUGGAUAAAAAGAGUGGGAAGAUUCUGAGCUAUUCAAAUGAGUAAGAAAGUUCUACCUUCUGGCGCAUCAACUUCUGCUCCUGCCUCCCCAUCAACUGGAGGACGACUUUCAACAAUGGCGAAGCAAGAUAAAGGACAAACGGAUCUAACGACGGUUAUGCAAGGAAUUCAAGAACUUAAAAUGAGUAUUGAACAAAGGAUGGGGAGUAUUGAACAAAAAAUUGAAAAUAUCCAACAGAUGAUGGCGAAGUAUGAUGAGAAACUACAAAAAAUGGAAGAGAAAGACAAUCAAAGAGAUGAGAAAUUGCAAAAAUUAGAAGAGAAAGACAAUCAAAGAGAUGAGAAAAUUGGAAAUAUUGAUGACAGAGUGACAACGCUUGAACAAAACAAGAAUGAGAUGGUGAAGUGGGAGAUGGACAGAUCAGAAUAUUACCUCAGAUUUCAAAAUAUAGAGGAAGAAAAAGGACAAGAUCUUGCUGCAGUAAUGAUAGAAAUCUUGGCUGGAGCUUUGGAAAUAACAGAGGAAAAAAUGAUGGAUGGAAUAGAUGAGAUAUACCGAGUUUUUACAAGAUAUGCAUCGAGGAAUAAGUUACCAAGAGAAGUUCAUGUUAGAUUUACUAAAAAAUCUAUCAGAACGCAGAUAUUACAAGCGGCAAGAGAGAAGACAUUGAAAUAUGGAGAUAAAGAGAUUGGGGUUUUAAAACAAGUACCAAGAAAAAUUAGAGAGAUGAGGAGAGAAUAUCGUUUCCUGACUAAAGUAUUAUUGGAAAAGGAGGUGAAUUACAGAUGGUUGAUUCCAGAAGGAUUAAUGGUUACAUGGAAAGAACAG
rnacentral:lncRNA from 1 species